GAUGAACGCUGGCGGCGUGCUUAACACAUGCAAGUCGAACGGAGUUAUGGUGCGGGAGAGAAGUGCUUGCACAGACCAAACAAAGCAUAACUUAGUGGCGGACGGGUGAGUAACGCGUGGGUAACCUGCCUCAUACAGGGGGAUAACAGUUAGAAAUGACUGCUAAUACCGCAUAAUACAGUUGAGUCGCAUGGCUCUGACUGUCAAAGAUUUAUCGCUCUGAGAUGGCCUCGCGUCUGAUUAGCUAGUUGGUGGGGUAACGGCCCACCAAGGCGACGAUCAGUAGCCGGACUGAGAGGUUGGCCGGCCACAUUGGGACUGAGACACGGCCCAG
rnacentral:rRNA from 1 species